GGUGGGGCCAAGAGAGGACCCUGAAGACAGAGAUCCGGAUGUGCCACCUCUCUUGGUCCUGGACCCUGGACGCUGGAGUUAGACCAAGCAGAGUUCUCCGGAGAACACCGCCGGACUGCGUUACACCUUUCCCAGAUCCUGUUACCUAUCCCUUCACUUGAAACAAAAUGUUGGUUCUGCAGAGACUGAGCUACUGCCUGGAGUUUAGAUGUUGGACCCCAAGAGGGCAGAGCCAAGGAAGGAAAUGAACCAGCUCCACAUGUGGACAGCAAGGCAGAGCAAGGGGCACAGAUGGUCUGCUGGGGAGCCUCUCAGAAGGGCAUGAACAGUUUGUGGCAGCUGAUGCUGUGUUUCAGCAAUGAUCAAAAGAAACCAGUUGCAUGAAGGAAUGGGAAAGAAAAUCUCUAGGAGGAAAAAAUGG